GGUUGAUCCUGCCAGUGGUCAUAUGCUUGUCUCAAAGAUUAAGCCAUGCAUGUUUAAGCAGAAGCCGCACAACGGUAAAGCCGCGAAUGGCUCAUUACAACAGCCGUCGUUUCUUGGAUCUCUAAUUUACUUGGAUAACUGUGGUAAUUCUAGAGCUAAUACACGCACUGAAGCUCUGACCUUACGGGACGAGCGCAUUUAUUAGAACAAAACCAAUCGGGUUCUGCCCGUUCGUUGGUGACUCUGAAUAACUCUGCUGAUCGCACGGUCUCGCACCGGCGACGUAUCUUUCAAGUGUCUGCCUUAUCAACUUUCGAUGGUAGUUUAUGUGCCUACCAUGGUUGUAACGGGUAACGGAGAAUAAGGGUUCGACUCCGGAGAGGGAGCCUGAGAAACGGCUACCACUUCCAAGGAAGGCAGCAGGCGCGCAAAUUACCCACUCUCGGCACGAGGAGGUAGUGACGAAAAAUAACGAGACGGAUCUCUUUGAGGCCCGUUAUCGGAAUGAGAACAAUUUAAAUCCUUUAACGAGGAUCUAGCGGAGGGCAAGUCUGGUGCCAGCAGCCGCGGUAAUUCCAGCUCCGCAGGUGUAUAUCUAUGCUGCUGCGGUUAAAAAGCUCGUAGUUGGAUCUGCGUGCUCGGAACCGGUUGGCUCACUGAGUUCAAACUGGUCUCCGGCGCUUUAUUGGCUGGUUUUCCCUUGAUGCUCUUAACCGGGUGUCUUGGGUGGCUAGCACGUUUACUUUAAAAAAAUUAGAGUGCUCAAUACAGGCGCAAAGCCUUGAAUAGUGGUGCAUGGAAUAAUAGAAUAGGACCUCGGCUCUAUUUUGUUGGUUUUCGGAACGCGAGGUAAUGAUUAAGAGGGACAGACGGGGGCAUUCGUAUUGCGACGUUAGAGGUGAAAUUCUUGGAUCGUCGCAAGACGGACGACUGCGAAAGCAUUUGCCAAGAAUGUUUUCAUUAAUCAAGAACGAAAGUUAGAGGUUCGAAGGCGAUCAGAUACCGCCCUAGUUCUAACCGUAAACGACGCCAACUAGCGAUCCGCAGGCGUUAAACGACGACCUUGCGGGCAGCUUCCCGGAAACGAAAGUGUUCGGGUUCCGGGGAAGUAUGGUUGCAAAGCUGAAACUUAAAGGAAUUGACGGAAGGGCACCACCAGGAGUGGAGCCUGCGGCUUAAUUUGACCCAACACGGGAAAACUCACCCGGCCCGGACACCGUAAGGAUUGACAGAUUGAGAGCUCUUUCUUGAUUCGGUGGGUGGUGGUGCAUGGCCGUUCUUAGUUGGUGGAGCGAUUUGUCUGGUUUAUUCCGAUAACG
rnacentral:rRNA from 1 species